rnacentral:rRNA from 1 species
GGGGAAUAUUGGACAAUGGGGGGAACCCUGAUCCAGCCAUGCCGCGUGUGUGAAGAAGGCCUUAUGGUUGUAAAGCACUUUAAGCGAGGAGGAGGCUACUUUAGUUAAUACCUAGAGAUAGUGGACGUUACUCGCAGAAUAAGCACCGGCUAACUCUGUGCCACGCAGCCGCGGUAAU